GACGAACGCUGGCGGCGUGCUUAACACAUGCAAGUCGAACGGAAAGGCCCUGCUUUUGUGGGGUGCUCGAGUGGCGAACGGGUGAGUAACACGUGAGUAACCUGCCCUUGACUUUGGGAUAACUUCAGGAAACUGGGGCUAAUACCGGAUAGGAGCUCCUGCUGCAUGGUGGGGGUUGGAAAGUUUCGGCGGUUGGGGAUGGACUCGCGGCUUAUCAGCUUGUUGGUGGGGUAGUGGCUUACCAAGGCUUUGACGGGUAGCCGGCCUGAGAGGGUGACCGGCCACAUUGGGACUGAGAUACGGCCCAGACUCCUACGGGAGGAAGCAGUGGGGAAUAUUGCACAAUGGGCGGAAGACUGAUGCAGCAACGCCGCGGGCGGGAUGACGGCCUUCGGGUUGUAAACCGCUUUCGCCUGUGACGAAGCGUGAGUGACGGUAAUGGGUAAAGAAGCACCGGCUAACUACGUG
rnacentral:rRNA from 1 species